rnacentral:rRNA from 1 species
AUUGAACGCUGGCGGCAUGCUUUACACAUGCAAGUCGAACGGUAACAGGCCGCAAGGUGCUGACGAGUGGCGAACGGGUGAGUAAUGCAUCGGACCGUGCCCAGUCGUGGGGGAUAACUGCUCGAAAGAGCAGCUAAUACCGCAUACGAUCUAUGGAUGAAAGCGGGGCACCGUAAGGCCCCGCGCGAUUGGAGCGGCCGAUGUCAGAUUAGGUAGUUGGUGGGGUAAAGGCUCACAAAGCCAACGACCUGUAGCUGGUCUGAGAGGACGACCAGCCACAAUGGGAAUGAGAAACGGCCCAGAGUCAGACGGGAGGCAGAGGGGGGGAAUUUGGGACAAUGGGGGCAACCCUGAUCCAGCAAGGCCGCGUGCAGGAAUAAGGCCUGCGUGUUGUAAACUGCUUUUGUACGGAACGAAACGGUCUGGGUUAAUACCCUGGGCUAAUGACGGUACCGUAAGAAUAAGCACCGGCUAACUACGUGCCAGCCGCCGCGGUAAUAC